UCAGACACUGGCUAAUGCAGAAAUAUUGAAUGAUCGUAUUUGUAUGCAUAUAUUUUUUCAGUCUGUUUCUGUUUGCUUUUACUGUUUGCCUGUGUAUAUGUUUGUGCUUGUUUACCAACAGAUGUUUAUGUGUGUGUCAGUGUUAGUGUGUGGGAGCAUGUCAUCUGGGUACACUGAUAUACAGACACACGCACACACAUGCCCUGCGUUGGCGCCCUGUGCUUGCAGUCGGAUGGCGUUUGAGCUGGGGCCAGGACAAAGCUGUGCACUGGUGGACUGUCACUCCAGCUUAAAUCUGCUCCCUGAUCAAAGCCCUCCCCCCUCAGAGAUGAUCAACGCUGGGCCACCGUGCCACCACAGACACGCGGCCUGGCACUUCCGAGAAAGAGGGCGAAAGAUCAUACUCUGUUCCCGUUGAGACCAGUUCUUUAUGAAGUCAUAAAAAUGAAAGCUACGGGCAGACUGUUCAUCUAUUAGAAUGACCUUCCUUUUGAUGAUCGGCCCUUGUCAGCAGUGAUUUUUACUGCCCAGCAGGGGUGAUGUCUGGUAUGUCCGGUGCUGCGGGAGAGCUUCCUCACAGGGUUACUGCAGUGAUCAUGGACAUGUUUUAAGCUUCACUGCUAGAGAAGAGGAUACAGAGAUGUGCUCAACCCCUAAAUGCCGAUUACCGAUGCCCAGUGAAACCGUCAACCUAAACUAUCAUACCCUUAUUACAUUUCUCCAGUCUACUCUGUUGACAGUUGUACAGCUGCAAAACAAAUGACUGCAUUGCCAUUUUUAUUUCUUCAUGUGUCAUUUAACAAGAAUUGGACAACAAAACAUGGUAUGGUGGGAAGCCAGAUGUGAAGUAAUAUCCUAAAUCUAACUUGGAAUGGAAUUCAGUAUAUUCAAUGUAUUUAUCUUAACCUAUUAACUUUCACGGGCCCACUUGCCAUUACAUGUUUUAAACAAUAAUAUCUUAGUCUGAACCUAAAGUAAUCUUGACAAACUAUUUAUCGUUUGAUAGCUUAAAGACUCUAGUUUUCAUAUUUGGUGAC
ensembl:lncRNA